rnacentral:rRNA from 1 species
GACGUAGGAGGCGAGCGUUGUCCGGAUUCAUUGGGCGUAAAGAGCGCGCAGGCGGCUUGGUAAGUCGGAUGUGAAAACCCGAGGCUCAACCUCGGGCGUGCAUCCGAUACUGCUCGGCUAGAGGUAGGUAGGGGAGAUCGGAAUUCCUGGUGUAGCGGUGAAAUGCGCAGAUAUCAGGAAGAACACCAAUGGCGAAGGCAGCUCUCUGGGACGGUACUGACGCUGAGACGCGAAAGCGUGGGGAGCGAACAGG